rnacentral:siRNA from 1 species
AACAGUUAUAAAAACUCCGGUGGU